AGCUGGUUGUACGAGUCCCAAAUAGGACGAAACGCGCUUCUUAGAU
rnacentral:hammerhead_ribozyme from 1 species